UUCUAGCCUCGAGCAAACUCCACAGUCGUGCCCCAUGGCUCUGAGGCAGGCGGGUUUGCAGCAGGAGCACGUCCUCACCCUGUGGCAGCUGUCCUGUCAGCCAAACACAGAGUAGCUGCUGUGGUGUCUGGAGGACAGAAAACCACAGGCAAAAUGGAAGCUUACUUAAGACCCACACUGGGAGUUGGAGCAAGUACUGCCAUAUCUAUGGUGCCGAGCAGACACAGCUCCUCACUGUCCUGUCGCUGUGUUAGACAGGCUAACAACACAUUUCCUCAUGGGAGGAAACAUGUUCCCCCAACAAAUUU